AGAGUUUGAUCCUGGCUCAGGAUGAACGCUGGCGGCGUGCUUAACACAUGCAAGUCGAACGGGAAACCUUUUAUUGAAGCUUCGGCAGAUUUAACUGGUUUCUAGUGGCGGACGGGUGAGUAACGCGUGGGUAACCUGCCUUGUACAGGGGGAUAACAGUCAGAAAUGACUGCUAAUACCGCAUAAGCGCACAGGACCGCAUGGUCCGGUGUGAAAAACUCCGGUGGUAUAAGAUGGACCCGCGUUGGAUUAGCUAGUUGGCAGGGUAACGGCCUACCAAGGCGACGAUCCAUAGCCGGCCUGAGAGGGUGAACGGCCACAUUGGGACUGAGACACGGCCCAGACUUCUACGGGAGGCAGCAGUGGGGAAUAUUGCACAAUGGGGGAAACCCUGAUGCAGCGACGCCGCGUGGAGGAAGAAGUAUCUCGGUAUGUAAACUUCUAUCAGCAGGGAAGAAAAUGACGGUACCUGACUAAGAAGCCCCGGCUAACUACGUGCCAGCAGCCGCGGUAAUACGUAGGGGGCAAGCGUUAUCCGGAUUUACUUGGUGUAAAGGGAGCGUAGACGGAUGGACAAGUCUGAUGUGAAAGGCUGGGGCUCAACCCCGGGACUGCAUUGGAAACUGCCCGUCUUGAGUGCCGGAGAGGUAAGCGGAAUUCCUAGUGUAGCGGUGAAAUGCGUAGAUAUUAGGAGGAACACCAGUGGCGAAGGCGGCUUACUGGACGGUAACUGACGUUGAGGCUCGAAAGCGUGGGGAGCAAACAGGAUUAGAUACCCUGGUAGUCCACGCGGUAAACGAUGAA
rnacentral:rRNA from 1 species